rnacentral:rRNA from 1 species
AAUCCAUAGGUUAAUGAGGCGAACCGGGGGAACUGAAACAUCUAAGUACCCCGAGGAAAAGAAAUCAACCGAGAUUCCCCCAGUAGCGGCGAGCGAACGGGGAGGAGCCCAGAGCCUGAAUCAGCAUGUGUGUUAGUGGAAGCGUCUGGAAAGGCGCGCGAUACAGGGUGACAGCCCCGUACACAAAAGCGCAUGUGCUGUGAGCUCGAUGAGUAGGGCGGGACACGUGGUAUCCUGUCUGAAUAUGGGGGGACCAUCCUCCAAGGCUAAAUACUCCUGACUGACCGAUAGUGAACCAGUACCGUGAGGGAAAGGCGAAAAGAACCCCGGCGAGGGGAGUGAAAAAGAACCUGAAACCGUGUACGUACAAGCAGUGGGAGCCCCACCACCAAAGCGUUUCGCUUUGUGUGGUGCACAAAGAAGCGUAACGACAGCACUGAAUGACGGUUAACGGAGCGCAAGCGACGUUCAACAUACAAAGUCAAGCAGUGGAGCGCUUUGGGGUGGGGUGACUGCGUACCUUUUGUAUAAUGGGUCAGCGACUUAUAUUCUGUAGCAAGGUUAACCGAAUAGGGGAGCCGGAGGGAAACCGAGUCUUAACCGGGCGUUAAGUUGCAGGGUAUAGACCCGAAACCCGGUGAUCUAGCCAUGGGCAGGUUGAAGGUUGGGUAACACUAACUGGAGGACCGAACCGACUAAUGUUGAAAAAUUAGCGGAUGACCUGUGGCUGGGGGUGAAAGGCCAAUCAAACCGGGAGAUAGCUGGUUCUCCCCGAAAGCUAUUUAGGUAGCGCCUCGUGAAUUCAUCUCCGGGGGUAGAGCACUGUUUCGGCUAGGGGGCCAUCCCGGCUUACCAACCCGAUGCAAACUGCGAAUACCGGAGAAUGUUAUCACGGGAGACACACGGCGGGUGCUAACGUCCGUCGUGAAGAGGGAAACAACCCAGACCGCCAGCUAAGGUCCCAAAGUCAUGGUUAAGUGGGAAACGAUGUGGGAAGGCCCAGACAGCCAGGAUGUUGGCUUAGAAGCAGCCAUCAUUUAAAGAAAGCGUAAUAGCUCACUGGUCGAGUCGGCCUGCGCGGAAGAUGUAACGGGGCUAAACCAUGCACCGAAGCUGCGGCAGCGACGCUUAUGCGUUGUUGGGUAGGGGAGCGUUCUGUAAGCCUGUGAAGGUGGCCUGUGAGGGUUGCUGGAGGUAUCAGAAGUGCGAAUGCUGACAUAAGUAACGAUAAAGCGGGUGAAAAGCCCGCUCGCCGGAAGACCAAGGGUUCCUGUCCAACGUUAAUCGGGGCAGGGUGAGUCGACCCCUAA